CCUCGCCUCCCGAGCCACAUCGUCCCGAUCGCCACCGCCGGAGAACCCAAGAAUUGCCCGUGAGGUCGGGCUUGCCGCCGAACCUUCGUGGCGACGCUAUUCACCUGGUAGAGAUCGGAAGCCAUUCAUUGUUUGAUCCCUUAUCUGAUGGCAAACGAGUGUAAAGGAAUCUAGCGAUCGUGUCAUCUUUUGGUUCGGACCUGAGCGGUCGUCUUCCUCGAUGAGUCCUCGUUCGUGAUCUUGGUCGUUUUUCUUCCGACUCGUAGACGCUUCUUUCCGGUGCCUGAUCUUGUCAUCGAUCUCCGAUUCAGCCGAUUUGGUGUUCGGGGUGUUGCAGUGUCACUAAUUUCCGGGCUUGAAUCAAGGAAGAGAAGUGGUGGUUUGGAUUUUGGUGUAACCAUGCCGUUUCCGACGAAGAUCCAGCCGAUCGACGUGAGAGGGUUAGUGCGGAGCGAUCAGGCAAAACCCGUGCCCAAAUCACGGCUGAAGCGGCUUUUCGAGCGACAAUUCCCCGGCGUCCUGCGAAUCUCGUCAGUGGAACGGCUGGAUCUGGAGCCGAGCUCCGUCUGCCUCGACAAGAUGAUCCGCAGCUUCAUGGAGGACAACAACGGGGAGAAGCCCUCUUCCCGAUGUGGUCACAGCCGCUGUAACUGCUUUCACGGCCACUGUGACGACAGCUCCGACGACGACCUCGACUUUAUCUCCUCCUCCAACAGCGGCGACGCUCCGAUCGUCUCCGCCGCCGAAGUCAUCAAGGGUUUGGUGGUUUGCACGACCGUCUCGGAGAGGAAUCUCCUUGCCGAUGCGUCCACCGUCGUGGAGAGGAGCAAGAAUUUCAAGAGAAAGAACGAGCAUAUGAAGGCCGUCACCGAUGGACUCCGAUCGCUCGGCUACGACGCCUCCCUGUGCAAGUCGCGGUGGGAGAAGACCGCCUCCAUCCCGGCCGGCGAACAUGAGUACAUCGACGUCAUCAUCGUCGGCGAGCGGCUGCUGGUGGACGUGGACUUCAGGUCGGAGUUCCAGAUCGCGCGGUCGACGAAGAGCUACGCCGCCGUGCUCCAGUCCCUGCCGUCCGUCUUCGUCGGGAAGGAAGACCGAGUCAGCCAGAUCGUCGCAGUGGUCUCGGAGGCUGCACGGCUGAGCCUGAAAAAGAAGGGCCUCUACUUCCCUCCGUGGCGGAAGCCGGAGUACAUCCGCUCCAAAUGGCUCGCUCCCUACGAGCGAUCGACUACCCCGGCGGACCAUGAGCAAGCAGCGGAAGCAGUGGAAGAGACUCGCGCGUCGGAAGAGAAGGCCAAGACCGAGAACCCACGCGGCGACGCUUCAACGACUGACGAACCCGGCGAAGCAGAGGGGAAGAGCGCGGUGGUGACGGACCCCACGCAACCAACGGAGGCAGUAAAAGAGACUGGCGCAUCGGAAGAGAAAGCCCAGACCGAGAACUCGAGCGGCGGCGCCUUCCCAUCGACCGACGAACCCGUAGAGGCAGCAGAGGGGAAGAGCACGGUGGCGGUGGCGUCGGCGCCACCGACGUGGGAGCUGCCGGAAGUGAAGCCCAGGACGCCGCACAAGGGAGCGAAGCUCCUGGAACGGAUCGCAAAGCUUCUCUGCCGGCGUCGGUCCCUGCAAGCGAAACAUCGAGCAACAGGAGGGCGAUACGCUACCAAAAAUAAAAGGUUAUGCUCCUUACGCUCCUCUUUUAUAAGCGAAUGCUAUUCUCCCGAUAUGAUCGGUUUCUUCUUUUUUAUGCUCUUAUCCGCUACAUGCUUUCAAACACAAGUUGGACGGGGCGACGGGGGAUGACGACGGCAUGCUCGUGUUCGGCGUGAUUGAGACGACGGACCCACAGGAGCCGCGUGAGGUCCACAGGAGUGGUCCAAAAGAACCAGCCUGUGGCCUCUGUCAAGUCAAUGUUCCUCCAUCAAGUUGGGUGUCAAGUUGAAGAGGAGAGACAUAAAAGAAAAGGUAUGUGUCCUUCUCAGAACUCCAGAAUUUCUACCAUCUGUGCCUUCCAUAUUGAUGUAUGAGAAAAGGUGGGUUGCAGUAUCAUUAUCAGCUAAUCAGGCAUGAGACAAAACUGGUCUGACUAGAUCUGAUUGGAUGGUCAAAUAUAAUAAUCCUGAAUCAAAAACAAUUCCAUCAAGUGGAAACUUAAAUUGCCUGCCAUACAUCAAUCUGGUGGAACAAAGAAGAUUUCAAGAUCAUGAUGUAGAAU